GAUGAACGCUGGCGGCGUGCCUAAUACAUGCAAGCCGAGCGAACGGACGAGAAGCUUGCUUCUCUGAUGUUAGCGGCGGACGGGUGAGUAACACGUGGAUAACCUACCUAUAAGACUGGGAUAACUUCGGGAAACCGGAGCUAAUACCGGAUAAUAUUUUGAACCGCAUGGUUCAAAAGUGAAAGACGGUCUUGCUGUCACUUAUAGAUGGAUCCGCGCUGCAUUAGCUAGUUGGUAAGGUAACGGCUUACCAAGGCAACGAUGCAUAGCCGACCUGAGAGGGUGAUCGGCCACACUGGAACUGAGACACGGUCCAGACUCCUACGGGAGGCAGCAGUAGGGAAUCUUCCGCAAUGGGCGAAAGCCUGACGGAGCAACGCCGCGUGAGUGAUGAAGGUCUUCGGAUCGUAAAACUCUGUUAUUAGGGAAGAACAUAUGUGUAAGUAACUGUGCACAUCUUGACGGUACCUAAUCAGAAAGCCACGGCUAACUACGUGCCAGCAGCCGCGGUAAUACGUAGGUGGCAAGCGUUAUCCGGAAUUAUUGGGCGUAAAGCGCGCGUAGGCGGUUUUUUAAGUCUGAUGUGAAAGCCCACGGCUCAACCGUGGAGGGUCAUUGGAAACUGGAAAACUUGAGUGCAGAAGAGGAAAGUGGAAUUCCAUGUGUAGCGGUGAAAUGCGCAGAGAUAUGGAGGAACACCAGUGGCGAAAGCGACUUUCUGGUCUGUAACUGACGCUGAUGUGCGAAAGCGUGGGGAUCAAACAGGAUUAGAUACCCUGGUAGUCCACGCCGUAAACGAUGAGUGCUAAGUGUUAGGGGGUUUCCGCCCCUUAGUGCUGCAGCUAACGCAUUAAGCACUCCGCCUGGGGAGUACGACCGCAAGGUUGAAACUCAAAGGAAUUGACGGGGACCCGCACAAGCGGUGGAGCAUGUGGUUUAAUUCGAAGCAACGCGAAGAACCUUACCAAAUCUUGACAUCCUUUGACAACUCUAGAGAUAGAGCUUUCCCCUUCGGGGGACAAAGUGACAGGUGGUGCAUGGUUGUCGUCAGCUCGUGUCGUGAGAUGUUGGGUUAAGUCCCGCAACGAGCGCAACCCUUAAGCUUAGUUGCCAUCAUUAAGUUGGGCACUCUAAGUUGACUGCCGGUGACAAACCGGAGGAAGGUGGGGAUGACGUCAAAUCAUCAUGCCCCUUAUGAUUUGGGCUACACACGUGCUACAAUGGACAAUACAAAGGGCAGCGAAACCGCGAGGUCAAGCAAAUCCCAUAAAGUUGUUCUCAGUUCGGAUUGUAGUCUGCAACUCGACUACAUGAAGCUGGAAUCGCUAGUAAUCGUAGAUCAGCAUGCUACGGUGAAUACGUUCCCGGGUCU
rnacentral:rRNA from 1 species